rnacentral:rRNA from 1 species
AAUACAUGCAAGUCGAGCGGACAGAAGGGAGCUUGCUCCCGGAUGUUAGCGGCGGACGGGUGAGUAACACGUGGGUAACCUGCCUGUAAGACUGGGAUAACUCCGGGAAACCGGAGCUAAUACCGGAUAGUUCCUUGAACCGCAUGGUUCAAGGAUGAAAGACGGUUUCGGCUGUCACUUACAGAUGGACCCGCGGCGCAUUAGCUAGUUGGUGAGGUAACGGCUCACCAAGGCGACGAUGCGUAGCCGACCUGAGAGGGUGAUCGGCCACACUGGGACUGAGACACGGCCCAGACUCCUACGGGAGGCAGCAGUAGGGAAUCUUCCGCAAUGGACGAAAGUCUGACGGAGCAACGCCGCGUGAGUGAUGAAGGUUUUCGGAUCGUAAAGCUCUGUUGUUAGGGAAGAACAAGUGCAAGAGUAACUGCUUGCACCUUGACGGUACCUAACCAGAAAGCCACGGCUAACUACGUGCCAGCAGCCGCGGUAAUACGUAGGUGGCAAGCGUUGUCCGGAAUUAUUGGGCGUAAAGGGCUCGCAGGCGGUUUCUUAAGUCUGAUGUGAAAGCCCCCGGCUCAACCGGGGAGGGUCAUUGGAAACUGGGAAACUUGAGUGCAGAAGAGGAGAGUGGAAUUCCACGUGUAGCGGUGAAAUGCGUAGAGAUGUGGAGGAACACCAGUGGCGAAGGCGACUCUCUGGUCUGUAACUGACGCUGAGGAGCGAAAGCGUGGGGAGCGAACAGGAUUAGAUACCCUGGUAGUCCACGCCGUAAACGAUGAGUGCUAAGUGUUAGGGGGUUUCCGCCCCUUAGUGCUGCAGCUAACGCAUUAAGCA